GACGAACGCUGGCGGCGUGCCUAAUACAUGCAAGUAGAACGCUGAAGAGAGGAGCUUGCUCUUCUUGGAUGAGUUGCGAACGGGUGAGUAACGCGUAGGUAACCUGCCUUGUAGCGGGGGAUAACUAUUGGAAACGAUAGCUAAUACCGCAUAACAAUGGAUGACACAUGUCAUUUAUUUGAAAGGGGCAAUUGCUCCACUACAAGAUGGACCUACGUUGUAUUAGCUAGUAGGUGAGGUAAUGGCUCACCUAGGCGACGAUACAUAGCCGACCUGAGAGGGUGAUCGGCCACACUGGGACUGAGACACGGCCCAGACUCCUACGGGAGGCAGCAGUAGGGAAUCUUCGGCAAUAGGGGCAACCCUGACCGAGCAACGCCGCGUGAGUGAAGAAGGUUUUCGGAUCGUAAAGCUCUGUUGUAAGUCAAGAACGGGUGUGAGAGUGGAAAGUUCACACUGUGACGGUAGCUUACCAGAAAGGGACGGCUAACUACGUG
rnacentral:rRNA from 1 species